rnacentral:rRNA from 1 species
UACAGAGGUGGCAAGCGUUGUUCGGAAUCACUGGGCGUAAAGCGCACGUAGGCGGACUCUUAAGUCGGUGGUGAAAUCCUGGAGCUCAACUCCAGAACUGCCUUCGAUACUGAGAGUCUUGAGUCCGGGAGAGGUGAGUGGAACUGCGAGUGUAGAGGUGAAAUUCGUAGAUAUUCGCAAGAACACCAGUGGCGAAGGCGGCUCACUGGCCCGGUACUGACGCUGAGGUGCGAAAGCGUGGGGAGCAAACAGG